ACUGGUGAGAAUAAACUGCUGUCGUAAGCUCAAGGAUGACUAUGGACAAAAUAUUGAUCAUUACAACAAACAUCUCAGAAAACACAUCUAUAAGUCCGUAAAUAAUUUGCUCGUAAGUACAAAUGGCCAACAAUAUCACCCCUUCGUCGACUUGGGCAUCGUGUAACUGCUGGAUGGAUGCAGGUGAGACUGAAAAAAAAACUGUACCUAAGCACCUCCCUUGCCUUCCCCCACCAUGUUUCCCGGUUCAUUUAUCGCUAAGGGUGGAUGGUUAAUUUUGUGAAGGUGGUAGCAAACACCAGAUUUCUUAACUGGUGCUUUUCGUGGCAUUUAGUCUGAUGAUUC
rnacentral:sRNA from 1 species